CCCCCACCACCCCACAGAAUGCCACCCCAAAUGACCCCAAACCGCCCCACAGACUGCGACCCCAAAGGACCCCCAACCGCCCCCCCCACCCCACAGAACGCGACCCCAAAGGACCCCCACAUCGGUGGGGGGCGUGGCCUCAACGUAUGGGCGUGGCCUCGGGUUUUGUGGGCGGGGCCCCAACCGCGGCGCGGGUUUCCCAAUGGGCGUGGCAUCGCGAGGUGGGCGUGGCCUCCCGGAAUGGGCGUGGCCUCAACGGCGGCACGGCUCCAAAGGGGGCGUGGCCUCAAUCGCGCCGCGGUUCGGCCAACGUGGGGCUUUGCCCCAUAAGUGCCCCCAAGUGGGGCUCUGCCCCAUAGCCGCUCCUAUGUGGGGCUCUCCCCCAUAGCCGCUCCUAUGUGGGGCUCUGCCCCAUAACUGCCCUUAUGUGGGGCUCUGCCCCAUAACUGCCCCAAGUGGGGCUCUGCCCCAUAACCGCGCCUAUGCGGGGCUCUGCCCCAUAAGUGCCCCUAUGUGGGGCUUUGCCCCAUAACCGCUCCUAUGUGGGGCUCUGCCCCAUAACCACUCCAUAAAGUCUGCCCCAUAAGUGCCCCCAAGUGGGGCUCUGCCCCAUAACUGCGCCUAUGCGGGGCUCUGCCCCAUAACUGCCCUUAUGUGGGGCUCUGCCCCAUAACUGCCCCAAGUGGGGCUCUGCCCCAUAACCACCCCUAUGUGGGGCUCUUCCCCAUAACCGCUCCUAUGUGGGGCUCUGCCCCAUAACCACUCCAUGAAGUCUGCCCCAUAAGUGCCACCACGUGGGGCUCUGCCCCAUAACCGCGCCUAUGCGGGGCUCUGCCCCAUAAGUGCCCCUAUGUGGGGCUUUGCCCCAUAACCGCUCCUACGUGGGGCUCUGCCCCAUAACCGCCACCACGUGGGGCUCAGCCCCAUAACCACCGGAACCCACCGCGCUGCCCCGUAAGUGCUCCCAUGUGGUGCUCUGCCCCAUAAGUGCUCCCAUGUGGGGCUCUGCCCCAUAACUGCCACCACGUGGGGGUCUGCCCCAUAACCGCUCCUAUGUGGGGCUCUGCCCCAUAACCGCCACCACGUGGGGCUCAGCCCCAUAACCACCGGAACCCACCGCGCUGCCCCGUAAGUGCUCCCAUGUGGUGCUCUGCCCCAUAAGUGCUCCCAUGUGGGGCUCUGCCCCAUAACUGCCACCACGUGGGGGUCUGCCCCAUAACCGCUCCUAUGUGGGGCUCUGCCCCAUAACCGCCACCACGUGGGGCUCUGCCCCAUAACCGCUCCUAUGUGGGGCUCUGCCCCAUAACUGCCCUUAUGUGGGGCUCUGCCCCAUAACUGCCCCAAGUGGGGCUCUGCCCCAUAACCGCUCCUAUGUGGGGCUCUGCCCCAUAACCACUCCAUGAAGUCUGCCCCAUAAGUGCCACCACGUGGGGCUCUGCCCCAUAACCGCGCCUAUGCGGGGCUCUGCCCCAUAAGUGCCCCUAUGUGGGGCUCUGCCCCAUAACCGUCCCUAUGUGGGGCUCUGCCCCAUAACCACCACCACGUGCGGCUCUGCCCCAUAACCGCUCCUAUGUGGGGCUCUGCCCCAUAACCGCCCCUAUGUGGGGCUCUGCCCCAUAACCACUCCUAUGUGGGGCUCUGCCCCAUAACCGCCCCUAUGUGGGGCUCUGCCCCAUUAGUACCCCAAGUGGGGCUCUGCCCCAUAACUGCUCCUAUGUGGGGCUCUGCCCCAUAACCACUCCAUGAAGUCUGCCCCAUAAGUGCUCCCACGUGGAGCUCUGCCCCAUAACCACUCCAUGAAGUCUGCCCCAUAAGUGCCACCACGUGGGGCUCUGCCCCAUAGCCGCUCCUAUGUGGGGCUCUGCCCCAUAACUGCCCCCAUGUGGGGCUCUGCCCCAUAACCACCACCACGUGCGGCUCUGCCCCAUAACUGCUCCUACGUGGGGCUCUGCCCCAUAACCGCCACCACGUGGGGCUCAGCCCCAUAACCACCAGACCCCACCGCACUGCCCCAUAAGUGCCGCCAUGUGGGGCUCUGCCCCAUAACCGCUCCUAUGUGGGGCUCUGCCCCAUAAGUGCCUCCACGUGGGGCUCUGCCCCAUAGCGUAGUGGAGACAGAUGGCAUCCACAAAGCAGGGCCGUGCCCCACAUCCUGCCAGCUGUGCACCGCCCCACAUGGACUCUGCCCCAUAACCCCACCCGGGGACACCGCCCCACGUCCUGACCCACAGCUGCUGUGCUAUGGGGCUCUGCCCCACAUCCCGACCCACAGCUGUGCGCUAUGGGGCUCUGCCCCACACCCCGACCCACAGCUGUGCACUAUGGGGCUCUGCCCCACAUCCCGACCCACAGCUGUGUGCAAUGGGGCUCUCUGCCCCACAUCCCGACCCUAUGGGGCUCUGCCCCACAUCCUGACCUACAACUGCGCGUUAUGGGGCUCUGCCCCACAUCCCGACCCACAGCUGUGUGCAAUGGGGCUCUCUGCCCCACAUCCCGACCCUAUGGGGCUCUGCCCCACAUCCCGACCCACAGCUGUGUGCUAUGGGGCUCUGCCCCACAUCCCGACCCACAGCUGUGCACUAUGGGGCUCUGCCCCACAUCCCGACCCACAGCUGUGUGCAAUGGGGCUCUGCCCCACAUCCCGACCGUAUGGGGCUCUGCCCCACAUCCCGACCCACAGCUGUGUGCAAUGGGGCUCUGCCCCACAUCCCGACCGUAUGGGGCUCUGCCCCACAUCCCGACCCACAGCUGUGCGCUAUGGGGCUCUGCCCCACAUCCCGACCCACAGCUGUGUGCAAUGGGGCUCUGCCCCACAUCCCGACCCACAGCCGUGUGCAAUGGGGCUCUCUGCCCCACAUCCCGACCCACAGCUGUGCACUAUGGGGCUCUGCCCCACAUCCCGACCCACAGCUGUGCGCUAUGGGGCUCUGCCCCACAAUUGAACCAAAGAACACCUCCACUGACUGCCCCACAGCGGUGCUCUGCCCCACAUCAUGGCCUCUGUGCCCCACAUUAUGGCACUCUGCCCCACAUCAUGGCCUCUCUGCCCCACAUUAUGGCACUCUGCCCCACAUCAUGGCCUCUCUGCCCCACAUCACAGUGCUCUGCCCCACAUUAUGGCCCUCUGCCCCACAUCAUGGCCUCUCUGCCCCACAUUAUGGCACUCUGCCCCACAUUAUGGCCUCUCUGCCCCACAUCGCAGUGCUCUGCCCCACAUCAUGGCCUCUCUACCCCACAUCACAGUGCUCUGCCCCACAUCGUGGCUCUCUGCCCAACAUUAUGGCACUCUGCCCCACAUCACAGUGCUCUGCCCCACAUUAUGGCCCUC
ensembl:lncRNA